rnacentral:rRNA from 1 species
GACGAACGCUGGCGGCGUGCCUAAUACAUGCAAGUCGAACGCAGUGGGGACGGGUGAGUAACACGUGGGUAACCUCCCAUCAGAGGGGAUAACACUUGGAAACAGGUGCUAAUCCGAUACUGAUGGAUGGACCCGCGGUGCAUUAGCUAGUUGGUGAGGUAACGGCUCACCAAGGCCACGAUGCAUAGCCGAUCUGAGAGGGUGAUCGGCCACACUGGGACUGAGACACGGCCCAGACUCCUACGGGAGGCAGCAGUAGGGAAUCUUGCGCAAUGGACGAAAGUCUGACGGAGCAACGCCGCGUGAGUGAAGAAGGUUUUCGGGUCGUAAAGCUCUGUUGGUGGAGAGGCGGUACCUAACGAGGAAGCCACGGCUAACUACGUGCCAGCAGCCGCGGUAAUUC